rnacentral:sRNA from 1 species
CUCUUCUUUCUACACAAAGAUCUGUGGGCUUGAAAUCCCGCGUGCUGCGAAAGCGGUACUGUUGGUUGAUUUCUACCCAGUUCGACGACUAUGGGAACUUCUUAUUCAUUGAUGAAGCACGUCCGGUCGACAGAUCUAAGAGCAAUGGUGGUGGUAGCGGAGGGCUUGUUGAAUUGCUCGUCAGUUCCGAGUCGCCCUACUGCCCGGGCGCUAUAUUCCAAAACGUUCUCGAGCCCGUCGGGCAAUGGGAGCUGGGUAAAACCAUAGCUUGCCUACAUUC